UCCUGCCUAGCUCAGUUGGUAAAGAACCUGCCUGCGAUGCUGGAGACCUGGGUUCAAUUCAUGGGUCAGGAA
rnacentral:tRNA from 1 species